rnacentral:rRNA from 1 species
AGAGUUUGAUCCUGGCUCAGAUUGAACGCUGGCGGAACGCUUUACACAUGCAAGUCGAACGGUAACGCGGAGAGAAGCUUGCUUCUCCCCGGCGACGAGUGGCGAACGGGUGAGUAAUACAUCGGAACGUGUCCGCUCGUGGGGGACAACCAGCCGAAAGGUUGGCUAAUACCGCAUGAGUUCUACGGAAGAAAGAGGGGGACCCGCAAGGGCCUCUCGCGAGCGGAGCGGCCGAUGACUGAUUAGCCGGUUGGUGAGGUAACGGCUCACCAAAGCAACGAUCAGUAGCUGGUCUGAGAGGACGACCAGCCACACUGGGACUGAGACACGGCCCAGACUCCUACGGGAGGCAGCAGUGGGGAAUUUUGGACAAUGGGCGCAAGCCUGAUCCAGCUAUUCCGCGUGUGGGAUGAAGGCCCUCGGGUUGUAAACCACUUUUGUAGAGAACGAAAAGACACCUUCGAAUAAAGGGUGUUGCUGACGGUACUCUAAGAAUAAGCACCGGCUAACUACGUGCCAGCAGCCGCGGUAAUACGUAGGGUGCGAGCGUUAAUCGGAAUUACUGGGCGUAAAGGGUGCGCAGGCGGUUGAGUAAGACAGAUGUGAAAUCCCCGAGCUUAACUCGGGAAUGGCAUAUGUGACUGCUCGACUAGAGUGUGUCAGAGGGAGGUGGAAUUCCACGUGUAGCAGUGAAAUGCGUAGAUAUGUGGAAGAACACCGAUGGCGAAGGCAGCCUCCUGGGACAUAACUGACGCUCAGGCACGAAAGCGUGGGGAGCAAACAGGAUUAGAUACCCUGGUAGUCCACGCCCUAAACGAUGUUAACUAGUUGUUGGGAAGUAAUAUUCUCAGUAACGCAGCCAACGCGAGAAGUUAACCGCCUGGGAAGUACGGUCGCAAGACUAAAACUCAAAGGAAUUGACGGGGACCCGCACAAGCGGUGGAUGAUGUGGAUUAAUUCGAUGCAACGCGAAAAACCUUACCUACCCUUGACAUGUCAGGAAGCUCUUGUAAUGAGAGCGUGCCCGCAAGGGAGCCUGAACACAGGUGCUGCAUGGCUGUCGUCAGCUCGUGUCGUGAGAUGUUGGGUUAAGUCCCGCAA